rnacentral:lncRNA from 1 species
AGUAUCAGCAAGUUGCUGCUGUGACUAUUCCAGCCACUCAAACUCAACAACAACAGAGAAGACCAACUCAGCAAUCUCAGCAUCAGCAACAUCGUCCUCAACAACAGGCUUACCAGCCUCACAAUGAUAAUCAAGCUAGUACGAGUAAUGAGAGGAAGAAGAUCAUUUUUGAUCCGAUCCCUAUGUCCUAUGCAGAGCUGUAUCCCUCUUUGAUAGA